rnacentral:tRNA from 1 species
GUCCUGAAAGCUAUAAGCUGUCUAUUUUGUAAAUAGAAAGAAGUUAAUUUUAACUCAGAACU